UUUUGACAAAACUAAUACAAUUCUGUUUUGUCCAUCCUACCUACCUUUUAGUUUUCAACAUUUAAAGCUGCCUUUGCAUUCAUUUAAAAUGGACUUUUCCCAAGUAAAAACUUUAGGAACAGCAGAACUCACCAUAGAUUGUGUUGGCAUCUCCCUAGGGACAUAUAACCUGUAAAUCACCCGGUUUUCUAGUUUCCUUGAGAAUCUGUAAUGUACAUUGAACCCAGAGUGCAGCAUGCUGAAAGGGAGUCUUUUUAGAAUGUAGUGAAGUCACUGCUACUGAGACAUGUGUUCACAUAUAUGUACCUUCUCUCUUCCAGUAAAGGGUGGCAGAGGGCACAGACGCCACCAGCAGACUCUUCGGAAGAAAGUAACAGGACUGGAACUUCAUUUUCCCAUGGAUUGUAAAAGGUUUCCACGCAUCCUUAGACUUCCAUACCAAGAAAUUUUUUUUCUUGGAUAUAGAUCCAAGAUGGCGGAUUGCUAACAGCUCGAGAUUGUAGCUCCAGUGAAAACACAGAGAACGAGAGGACACCACACUUUCAGACGAAUUUUCAUCACUCACGGACCAGAAGGUUCCCAGUGGAGGAGCCCCAUGGGUCGCCAGCGUGACUCUUGUGGCCGGUGCAGCGGUUUUGCUGAUGCCUCAGCGUGGCAGCUCUUUAUGCAGAGUAAACAGGAUUGGUUCCCCUUCUGACUGAUGUUUGGAGCUCCGGGAAGGCAGAGCCACUUAUUAUGGACUCAAGAAGAAAGCCAGACUGGAGAUUCCCAGGCAGAAGAGCACCAUCAGUCUUAUCACUGCUGUUUUGGCCGGUGCAGUGGGUUGCUCAGAUUCCAGCACUGGGAAUCAAUAAACUGGACGUCCACUCAGAAACCUAAUUAGAAAGGCGGUAAUUGUAAAGAUGACAGAUGGAUAAAUUUAUAACAAAGGGAAGAAACCAGCCUAAAAAGGCUGAGAAUACCCAAAAUCAGAACCCCUCUUCCUCUACAGGGGAUUACAGUUCCUCAUCAGCAACAGAACAAGCCCUGAUGGAGAAGGAUUGUGUUCCAUUAACAGAAGUAGGCUUCAGAAGGUGGAUGAUAAGAAACUUCUGGGAGUAAAAAGAACUUGUUCUAACCCAAUGUAAAGAAACUAAGAACUUUGAAAAAAGGUUUGACAAAAUGCUAACAAGAAUAGACAAUAUAGAGAGGAAUAUAAAUGAACUAACAGAGUUGAAAAACACAACACGAGAACUUAGCAAAAUAUGCACAAGUUUGAAUAGCCGAAUUGAUCAAGCAGAAGAAAGGAUAUCAGAGGUCGAAGACCAACUUAAUGAAAUAAAACAAGAAGACAAGAAUAGAGAAAAAAGGAUAAAAAGAAAUGAGCAAAGUCUCCAAGAAAUAUGGGACUAUGUGAAAAGACCUAAUUUAUGUUUGAUAGGUGUACCUGAAUGUGACAGAGAGAAUGAAUCCAAGCUGGAAAAUACUCUUCAGGAUAUUAUUCAGGAAAACUUUCCCAAUCUAGCAAAGCAGGACAAUAUUCAACCCCUGGUAAUACAGAGAACACCACAAGAUUUUCCUCAAGAAGAGCAACCCCAAGGUACAUAAUCGUCAGAUUCACCAGGGUUGAAAUGAAGGAGAAAAUACUAAGGGCAGCCAGGGAGAAAGGUCAGGUUACCCACAAAGGGAAGCCUAUUAGACUUACAGCAGAUCUCUCAGCAGAAACCCUACAAGCCAGAAGAGAGUGGGGGCCAAUAUUCAAUAUCCUUAAAGAAAAGAACUUUCAGCCCAGAAUUUCAUAUUCUGCCAAACUAAGCUUCACAAUUGAAGAAAAAAUAAAAUCUUUUAUGAACAA